rnacentral:rRNA from 1 species
UACGUAGGGGGCAAGCGUUGUCCGGAAUCAUUGGGCGUAAAGAGCGUGUAGGCGGCCCGAUAAGUCCGCCGUGAAAGUCCAGGGCUCAACCCUGGAAUGCCGGUGGUAACUGUCGGGCUGGAGUCCGGAAGAGGCGAGUGGAAUUCCUGGUGUAGCGGUGAAAUGCGUAGAUAUCGGGAGGAAUACCGGUGGCGAAAGCGACUCUCUGGACGGUAACUGACGCUGAGGCACGAAAGCGUGGGGAGCAAACAGG